rnacentral:rRNA from 1 species
CACGUAGGCACCAAGCGUUGUCCGGAUUUAUUGGGCGUAAAGAGCGUGUAGGCGGCUUCACAAGUCCGCUGUGAAAACUCGAGGCUCAACCUCGAGCUGUCGGUGGAAACUGUGAGGCUAGAGUCCGGAAGAGGAGAGUGGGAUUCCCGGUGUAGCGGUGAAAUGCGCAGAUAUCGGGAAGAACACCCGUGGCGAAGGCGGCUCUCUGGGACGGUACUGACGCUGAGACGCGAAAGCGUGGGGAGCGAACAGG